AUUGAACGCUGGCGGCAUGCUUUACACAUGCAAGUCGAACGGUAACAGGUCUUCGGAUGCUGACGAGUGGCGAACGGGUGAGUAAUACAUCGGAACGUGCCUGGUAGUGGGGGAUAACUACUCGAAAGAGUAGCUAAUACCGCAUGAGAUCUACGGAUGAAAGCAGGGGACCUUCGGGCCUUGUGCUACUAGAGCGGCUGAUGGCAGAUUAGGUAGUUGGUGGGGUAAAGGCUUACCAAGCCUGCGAUCUGUAGCUGGUCUGAGAGGACGACCAGCCACACUGGGACUGAGACACGGCCCAGACUCCUACGGGAGGCAGCAGUGGGGAAUUUUGGACAAUGGGCGAAAGCCUGAUCCAGCAAUGCCGCGUGCAGGAUGAAGGCCCUCGGGUUGUAAACUGCUUUUGUACGGAACGAAAAGCCUGGGGCUAAUAUCCCCGGGUCAUGACGGUACCGUAAGAAUAAGCACCGGCUAACUACGUG
rnacentral:rRNA from 1 species